rnacentral:rRNA from 1 species
AUACGGAGGGUGCAAGCGUUACUCGGAAUCACUGGGCGUAAAGCGCGCGCAGGCGGCUUGAUAAGUUGGAUGUGAAAGCCUACGGCUCAACCGUAGAACUGCAUCCAAAACUGUCAAGCUAGAGUCUGGGAGGGGAAGAUGGAAUUAGUUGUGUAGGGGUAAAAUCCGUAGAGAUAACUAGGAAUACCAAAAGCGAAGGCGAUCUUCUGGAACAGUACUGACGCUGAGGCGCGAAAGCGUGGGGAGCAAACGGGAUUAGAAACCCUAGUAGUCC